GUGAGGAAUAUUGCGCAAUGGAGGCAACUCUGACGCAGCCAUGCCGCGUGCCGGAAGAAGGCCCUCAGGGUUGUAAACGGCUUUUGACGGUGAAGAAUCGACAGGAUGCGUCCUGUUUUGACGGUAGCCGUUGAAUAAGCACCGGCUAACUCCGUGCCAGCAGCCGCGGUAAUACGGAGGGUGCGAGCGUUGUCCGGAUUUAUUGGGUUUAAAGGGUGCGUAGGCUGGAAGGUCAGUCAGCGGUGAAAAGCUAUCGCUUAACGAUAGUCUUGCCGCAGAUACUUCCUUUCUUGGAUGAGGAGGAGGCCACGGGAACGGAUGGUGUAGCGGUGAAAUGCAUAGAUAUCAUCCAGAACACCGAUUGCGAAGGCAGGUGGCUGUACCUUAAUCGACGCUGAUGCACGAAAGCAUGGGGAGCAAACAGGAUUAGAAACCCGGGUAGUCC
rnacentral:rRNA from 1 species